rnacentral:rRNA from 1 species
AGUGAACGCUGGCGGUAGGCCUAACACAUGCAAGUCGGACGGCAGCACAGUAAGAGCUUGCUCUUACGGGUGGCGAGUGGCGGACGGGUGAGGAAUAUAUCGGAAUCUACUUUUUCGUGGGGGAUAACGUAGGGAAACUUACGCUAAUACCGCAUACGACCUACGGGUGAAAGCAGGGGAUCUUCGGACCUUGCGCGAUUGAAUGAGCCGAUGUCGGAUUAGCUAGUUGGCGGGGUAAAGGCCCACCAAGGCGACGAUCCGUAGCUGGUCUGAGAGGAUGAUCAGCCACACUGGAACUGAGACACGGUCCAGACUCCUACGGGAGGCAGCAGUGGGGAAUAUUGGACAAUGGGCGCAAGCCUGAUCCAGCCAUACCGCGUGGGUGAAGAAGGCCUUCGGGUUGUAAAGCCCUUUUGUUGGGAAAGAAAAGCAGCAGGUUAAUACCCCGCUGUUCUGACGGUACCCAAAGAAUAAGCACCGGCUAACUUCGUG